rnacentral:lncRNA from 1 species
AAGAAGGCAGGGGCCAUGGGACCCAGAGUUCUCAGCAGUCCCUCUCAGCCCCACUCCCUGGGCUCAGGGGUGUGGGGCCUGGCUGCAAUACCCGGGAGAUUGCUGACAAACUGAUUGAGCUCAAGGCAGAGAUCGAGGAGCUGCAGCAGCGGGAGCAAGAACUAGACCAGCACAAGGUGUGGGUGCAGCAGAGCAUCCGGAACGUCACAGAGGACGUGCAGAACAGCUGUUUGGCCUACGUCACUCAUGAGGACAUCUGCAGAUGCUUUGCUGGAGAUACCCUCUUGGCCAUCCGGGCCCCAUCAGGCACCAGCCUGGAGGUGCCCAUCCCAGAGGU